UAGAUGACCCCUAACGAUUUUGGGGUCAAGGGGUCAAAGGUCAAGGUCACAUUGACCUCUUGGGUAAAAACGGUUUCCGAUCAAUAACAAAAGAACCCUUAGGCCUAGGAACUUCAAACUUGGUAUGGUGAUUGGUUAUGACCAGCAGAUGACCCCUAUUGAUUUUGGGGUUAAGUGGUCAAAGGUCAAGGUCACAUUGACCUUGUAGGUAAAAACGGUUUCCGAUCAAUAACGAAAGAACCCUUAGGCCUAGGGACUACAAACUUGAUAUGGUGAUUGGUCAUGAUCAGUAGAUGACCCUUAUUGAUUUUGGGGUCAAGGGGUCAAAGGUCAAGGUCACAUUGACCUCUUAGAUAAAAAACAGUUUCGGAUCAAUAACUAAAGAACCCUUAGGCCUAGGAACUUCAAACUUGGUAUGGUGAUUGGUCAUGAUCAGUAGAUGACCCCUAUUGAUUUUGGGGUCAAGGGGUCAAAGGUCAAGGUCACAUUGACCUCUUAGGUAAAAGCAGUUUCCGAUCAAUAACUAAAGAACCCUUAGGCCUAGGAACUUCAAACUUGGUAUGGUGAUUGGUCAUGACCAGCAGAUGACCCCUACUGAUUUUUGGGGUUAAGGGUCAAAGGGAAAGGUCACAUUGACCUUGUAGGUAAAAAUGCUUUCCGAUCAAUAACUUAAGAACCCUUAGGCCUAGGAACUUCAAACUUGGUAUGGUGAUUGGUCAUGACCAGCAGAUGACCUAUUGUUUUUAGGGUCAAGGGGUCAAAGGUCAUGUAACAUUGACCUUGUAGGUUAAAACGGUUUCUGAUCAAUUAACUAAAAACGCUUAGGCGUAGGAACUUCAAACUUUGUAUGAUGAUUGGUGGUGACCAGCAGAUGACCCCUAUUGAGUUUUGGGUCAAGGGGUCAAAGGUCAAGGUCACAUCGACCUUGUAAGCAAAAAUGGUUUCCGAUCAAUAAGUAAAGAACCCUAAGGCCUAGGAACUUCAAACUUGGUAUGGUGAUUGGUCAUGAUCAGUAGAUGACCCCUAACGAUUUUGGGAUCAAGGGGUCAAAGGUCAAGGUCCCAUUGACCUUGUAAGUAAAAACGGUUUCUGAUCAAUAACUAAAGAACACUCGGGCCUAGGAACUUCAAACUUGGCAUAGUGAUUGGUCAUGAUCAGCAGAUGACCCCUAUUGAUUUUGGGGUCAAAGGUCAAGGUCACAUUGACCUUGUAUGUUAAAACGGUUUCGGAUCAAUAAUAAAAGAACCCUUAGGCCUAGGAACUUCAAACUUGGCAUGGUGAUUAGUCAUGACCAGCAAAUGACCCCUAUUGAUUUUGGGGUCAAGGGGUCAAAGGUCAAGGUCACAUUGACCUUGUAAGUAAAAACGGUUUCUGAUCAAU